rnacentral:rRNA from 1 species
GACGAACGCUGGCGGCGUGCCUAAUACAUGCAAGUCGAACGCUUCUUUCCUCCCGAGUGCUUGCACUCAAUUGGAAAGAGGAGUGGCGGACGGGUGAGUAACACGUGGGUAACCUACCCAUCAGAGGGGGAUAACACUUGGAAACCGGUGCUAAUACCGCAUAACAGUUUAUGCCGCAUGGCAUAAGAGUGAAAGGCGCUUUCGGGUGUCGUUGAUGGAUGGACCCGCGGUGCAUUAGCUAGUUGGUGAGGUAACGGCUCACCAAGGCCACGAUGCAUAGCCGACCUGAGAGGGUGAUCGGCCGCACUGGGACUGAGACACGGCCCAGACGCCUGCGGGAGGCAGCAGUAGGGAAUCUUCGGCAAUGGACGAAAGUCUGACCGAGCAACGCCGCGUGAGUGAAGAAGGUGUUCGGAUCGUAAAACUCUGUUGUUAGAGAAGAACAAGGACGUUAGUAACUGAACGUCCCCUGACGGUAUCUAACCAGAAAGCCACGGCUAACUACGUG